rnacentral:lncRNA from 10 species
CUUGGUUUCCUCAUUUGUUAUGUGAAGAUGACAAUAUCAGAUGACAUAGGGUGUUUUCGGCUCUGUGUAAUAGGAAACAGUGACAGAAACUGGCUUGAAUAAUAAGAAAUUGUAUCGCAGAAUGCUCAAAGUCCGGAGUGAGAUCUGAGAUGAAUUUAACUGCCUUCAGUAGUGCUGGCCUGCUCCUGAGAGAGAGAUGAUUGAGAGGGAGG